CUUUAUACCGCAUCUAUCGGUCAAUAUGCAAGAAAUCUUAGUAAAAUUCAGAAAGAAUCUUUUUUUAAUAAGAGUGUAUCCUCUUUCCUUAAAUGAAUGCAAUCACGUCGAUACUUUCCUCAGUUUGAAAUAAAGUUUUGCCAAAUCCUGAAAGUGUUCCUCCGCCUCUGUUCCUUGCAAGUUGCAAGAUUAUGAAAUGUUCGGUUACACCCGAACUUAGCACUUCCUUACUUGUUUUUCAUCUGUGGUUUUCAUAUUAAAUAUGUUAUCUCAUUUACUUGAAUUUCCGCUAUUAAAGGCGUCCAUAUGUAUGCAUAUGUGUAUUUAUUUCGAUAAUAUUUUAGUUGAUUAAACUUUAAUUUGAAAACAAUCAUAUAUUUAAAUAUUUACGUACAUACAUACUUAUGUUUUAUAUCAAACCUUCACAAUCCCAUUGGGAAAGUGCAACAGAGCUUACAAAGCGAGGCCGGCGGUGUUUUGACAUUUAUUAGCAACUUUAAUUUAAAGCUGUAUUGAUUUAUUUGUUAUAUUUCCAAUUGGGUUCAUAUUUAUAUUAUAUGUACGGAUCAACAUACUUAUUCAUAUACAUAGUCGUAUGUGCAGUCGCCGCGCAUUGUGGGAAGUUGUACUUUAUAAUACAAAAUAUCUUGAAUUGAACAGAUUUCUCGGGAGGGAAUUUCGUGUCACCAGAUGUUUCUACAUUUACUAGCAGCUGUGGAAAUUUUAAAUAAAGAAGUUAACUCGUGUGGGCGGCAAAUGAAAAUUCGAAGAGUGACGGAUAAUUGUUUGCUGAACAAAGUAAAUAACAUGCCCUACAUUAAUUAACUGAGAAGAGCUUGUAAAGUUUUUGUAUGUAUAGUAAAUAAUUUUUACUAAUACUACUAAUCAAACAAUCGCGAUCCCCAAUGUCCUCUGGUGGCAAAGCCACUUCCAUGCUUUAUCACGACAAAUCUGUGAAAUGUUGCUGAACUUGAGCAGAAGACUGUGACUUGGAAACUUGACCGGCAGAAGGAUGAAUAAUAAAGUGAAGGAUGAAAAAAUGAAUUACUAUUAAUAUUUUAUAAUAUUUUUUUUGUGUAUGUUUUAUUUUUGAAGCAAAUUAUACUUGAUUGCAAAAAAUAUUUGCCAUGGGAUUAAUUUUGUGACGCAAAUAUUUAUAUAUUGUAUAUAAACAUAUCAGUAAAUUGGUAUGUACUGCAUGUAUGCAUUGAGUCAUUUAAAAUUUUUUUAGCAAAACUUGUGUAUGUAUAUAUCUCGAAUUAUAUAGUAGUUUUUUUUCCAAUAUAAUGUGAUUUAAAGACAUACUACAAUACAAAA